rnacentral:rRNA from 1 species
GGCUUAGAAGCAGCCACUCAUUAAAAGAGUGCGUAAUAGCUCACUGGUCGAGUGACUCUGCGCGGAAAAUAUAACGGGGCUAAGCGUAACACCGAAGCUUGGGCUGCACAGCAAUGUGCGGGGUAGGGGAGCGUCGAAUAUGGGGUGAAGUCGCAGCGGAAGCAGCGGUGGACUGUAUUCGAGUGAGAAUGCCGGAAUGAGUAGCGAGAAUUAUGUGGGAAUCAUAAUGGCCGAAAAUCUAAGGUUUCCUGGGGAAGGUUCGUCCGCCCAGGGUAAGCCGGGAGCUAAGGCGAGGCCGAAAGGCGUAGUCGAUGCACAUACGGUUGAAAUUCCGUAGCCACCGAACCUUAAGUACACUGACACAUGGAGAUAGCGGGACCCGGGCGUUGGUUGACCCGGGCGUAAGGGACCGAACUAUAGUAGCGAAGUCCGCGAUGCUGAGAGGCGAGAAAAGCUCUGAUGGAUACUAAGGUGCCCGUACCGCAAACCGACACAGGUAGAUGAGGAGAGAAUCCUAAGGCCAACGGGAGAAGGGUUGUUAAGGAACUCGGCAAAAUGACCCCGUAACUUCGGGAUAAGGGGAGCCUCCUACGGGAGGCCGCAGCGAAUAGGCCCAAGCGACUGUUUACCAAAAACACAGGUCUCUGCUAAAUCGAAAGAUGACGUAUAGGGGCUGACGCCUGCCCGGUGCUGGAAGGUUAAGAGGAGAUGUUAGCCGCAAGGCGAAGCAUUGAAUCGAAGCCCCAGUAAACGGCGGCCGUAACUAUAACGGUCCUAAGGUAGCGAAAUUCCUUGUCAGGUAAGUUCUGACCCGCAUGAAAGGCGUAAUGAUUUGGGCACUGUCUCAACAGCCCGCCCGGCGAAAUUGUAGUACUGGUGAAGAUACCAGUUACCCGCAACUAGACGGAAAGACCCCAUGGAGCUUUACUGCAGCUUAAUACUGGAAAUCGGUAAAUCAUGUACAGGAUAGGUGGGAGACUUGGAAGCCAGGGCGUCAGCUUUGGUGGAGUCACCCUUGGGAUACCACCCUUGAUUUGCUGGUUUUCUAACCUGCGGCCGUGAAUCCGGUCGGGGGACACUGUUAGGUGGGCAGUUUGACUGGGGCGGUCGCCUCCUAAAAGGUAACGGAGGCGCUCAAAGGUUCGUUCAGCACGGACGGAAACCGUGCAGUGAGUGUAAACGCAUAAACGAGCCUAACUGCGAGACCGACGGGUCGAGCAGUAACGAAAGUUGGAGUUAGUGAUCCGGCGGUAUGUGAGUGGAAAUGCCGUCGCUCAACGGAUAAAAGCUACCCUGGGGAUAACAGGCUGAUCUCCCCCAAG